ACAGGUUGACCUCGGAUCAGGUAGGAAUACCCGCUGAACUUAA
rnacentral:rRNA from 2 species